AUUGAGCGCUGGCGGCAGGCUUAACACAUGCAAGUCGAGCGGGGGAAGGUAGCUUGCUACCGGACCUAGCGGCGGACGGGUGAGUAAUGCUUAGGAAUCUGCCUAUUAGUGGGGGACAACAUCUCAAAAGGGAUGCUAAUACCGCAUACGUCCUACGGGAGAAAGCAGGGGAUCUUCGGACCUUGCGCUAAUAGAUGAGCCUAAGUCGGAUUAGCUAGUUGGUGGGGUAAAGGCCUACCAAGGCGACGAGCUGUAGCGGGUCUGAGAGGAUGAUCCGCCACACUGGGACUGUGACACGGCCCAGACUCCUACGGGAGGCAGCAGUGGGGAAUAUUGGACAAUGGGGGGAACCCUGAUCCAGCCAUGCCGCGUGUGUGAAGAAGGCCUUAUGGUUGUAAAGCACUUUAAGCGAGGAGGAGGCUACUUUAGUUAAUACCUAGAGAUAGUGGACGUUACUCGCAGAAUAAGCACCGGCUAACUCUGUGCCAGCCGCCGCCGUAA
rnacentral:rRNA from 1 species